AAUUCAUUUGUAAUUUACAGUUGCAAUUUCACAGAUGUUUUUAAUUCUUGAAAUAGUUUAAUAAUUAUUGUUUAAUGUAAUUUCAGGUUGCAUCAACUGAAGUUUUGAAAAAACGAGCAGAAAGGUUUGGUGCAACGGUCUCCUCUCAAUUACAAAAGACCGAACUAAACGACAAAAAGAAAUCAAGAGCAGAGCGAUUUGGACUGACCGGCAGCACUCCUUCAGCCACCGACAAGGCCAAUCUAGACGAAAAAAUGAAAUUGAGAGCGGAAAGGUUCAAAAUAAAUAAUGUAUAAGAAAUGUGACUUUUCAAUUAACAAAAAUACGAAAAAUACCUGCAGAAAUUCAUUCAAAGGUUUAUAGUAUAAAUAAUUUCAUAAUGUUUUAUAAAAAUCCCUUCAAAUAAGCAGGCUAAUUAUAAAAAAUAUUACACAAGUAUUCAAAUUUAAAAUGUA